AACAUUGGCUGUUAAUACUAGUGGAAUACAGCAUUCAAAAUUUCCUUGGAGAUUUCUCACUUGAAGCAAGCAGAUCUGCACCAUCCAAGCAGCUUCUUGUAGGACAUGCAUCUAAACAGAAUUCUCAGAAAACGUUAUUUGAGCUUACAAUUUACUUAACAAAUCUUGACGCAAGAGAGUGUACAGGGCUCUCUGGCAAAUGCAAGAAUUCAUAUGGUAAAACUUUGUUCCAAAUUUGGCAUUCCAUUGGUCUCAAAAAACUGAUUAAUAGUUGUAAAUGAUUUGGCUGCUUUGUCGGUUUCAGGCACCUUUAUCAUAGCAUGAUAUGCAAGGUUUGCUGACUGCCUCAGGAUUUCAGAAACUAAUCACACCUGUAAUUGUGGUGUGCCGAUUAGUGUCUCUUCCAAGAUUUGGGGGAUACCCGCCUCUUUCAACGAGUCCCCAUUGUUCCGUCCUAAAUGAUCCAUAGCUGUUACAUUGCAUAGGUCUAAUUUUCCUUAAGUCUUUCAUGGUUUUUAUCUGAUCUCGGAGCAACACGUACACAUACUCUUUUUCCUUUUAACUUUUCAAGAAAAUGCUGCAAACCCUCAUCCUCGUCCGAGUCAUCAGAUAAUGCAGACUUGAACGGUGCUGGAGAAUCAUUAAUAGCAGGACGGUUCGGAACAGUGCACUUUUUUUUUUCCAAAUCUAGUCCAGGAAAGCCACCCCCCUCCACUGUCUCUGCUUGUUUCCAUUGCUCUUUUAAUCCUCUCAAAGUCUCCAGCAACAAGCACCACAUCGUUAAGAGUUAAGUUGUUUCUUUGGAUCUUUGGCUAGUGCUUUGCCCCAUAAUAAUGUCCUUCGUAAAUUUAUUUCUAGAAGGCUAAUACCCUGCUUCUUCAGAAACAAUUUCCAUGUAGAUAAUAUAGUACCCUCUUGUGGAGGGGGUUUUGGUAAAUAAAGACUUUGUUGAUGAAUUAGUCUGGCUCAAAGGAAUCUCAAGGCCGCUUCGGGGAGCUGAGAGCAGAGUCCGCUGUGAGAAAGAGGGGCGUUCCACAAUCACCGGGGUCCUGGCGUGGCGUGAAUCAUCGGACGUAUCAUCAGUGAGACUCCAGAGCACGGACAGCCCACGAUACUCAUUUAACGAAUCCAUGAUUGGAGCGUGGACGCGUGAUUAGAAUAUAGUUACGUAUAUAAGGAGACUUGUUUCUGUAAUAAAUGGCUUAGCGUGAUUCACAUUGAAUCGACUUGUUUUGCUGAGUCCUUAUCUCGCUCUUACAAAUGAUGACCCCGACGUGAUACUCUGAACUGCGUACCACUGAGGUCGGGGAAAAGCCUGGAGCGGCCCAGCCGGAGGCGGAUCAGCUGGACUGAAGACCGGGCGGAGGCGUACGGAUGUUCCGCAUUUUUUUUGAAGAAGUCACCAUAAAGGAUGCAGGUGCAAAAUAGCAACUGAAGGUCAGGACUUUCACUGAUAGCCCACCUGAUGAAACAGACCCAAUGAAGCAUGGGGAGAUCCCAAACUUGAAUUUUUACUUUUGGUAAAGCAGCGACGGAAUAUGUGGAAAAAACUGCAUCUGGUGCCUGGACAUCACCUGCAACAGUGGCUCACCCUAUAAGGUUUACUGUUGAAAAUAAAAUAUU